GACAGAGGGUGCAAACGUUGCUCGGAAUCACUGGGCGUAAAGGGCGUGUAGGCGGGAAGGAAAGUCAGAUGUGAAAUCCCUGGGCUCAACCCAGGAACUGCAUUUGAAACUCCCUUUCUUGAGUGUCGGAGAGGAAAGCGGAAUUCCUGGUGUAGAGGUGAAAUUCGUAGAUAUCAGGAGGAACACCGGUGGCGAAGGCGCACAUCUGGCCCGAUACUGACGCUGAGGCGCGAAAGCUAGGGGAGCAAACGGG
rnacentral:rRNA from 1 species